CCGUGCCGAAUGCUAACGCGUUAAGUAGCCCGCCUGGGGAGAUCGCGCGCAAGUUGGAAACUCAGAGGAAUUGACGGGGGCCGGCACAAGCGUGGGAGUAUGUGGUUUAAUUCGUAGCAAGGGUUCGAACCUUACCAGGGUUUGACAUCCCCCGAAUCUCUUGGAAACUUGGGAGGGCCUUCGGGAGCGGGUAGACAGGUGGUGCAUGGCUGUCUUCAGCUCGUAUCAUGAGAUGUUGGGUUAAUUCCCGCAACGAGAGCAACCCUGGUUUUUAGUUGCCAUCAGUAAGUUGGGCACUCUAGAGAGACUACCGGUGUCAAACCGGAGGAAGGUAGGGAUGACGUCAAGUCAUCAUGCCCCUUACGCCUUGGGCUACACACGUACUACAAUGGUCGGGACAACGGGCAGCGAAGCCGCGAGGUGAAGCGAAUCCCACAAAACCCGGCCUCAGUUCAGAUUGCAGGCUGCAACUCGCCUGCAUGAAGGAGGAAUAGCUAGUAAUCGCAGGUCAGAAUACUGCGGUGGGUACGUCUCCGGGC
rnacentral:rRNA from 1 species